AAGAAGGUCAUUUGACUUGAGAAUGAUUUUCGUUUGUUUGUUAUAUUGUUGUCUCUCUCCCCAAUUAUCAUCUUUGCAAAGAAGGUCAUGUCAAUGAAAAGCGAGACAGAGGGUCUGCCAGCAGGAUCCAAAAUAAGAAGCAGAGCUCAUAGGUGCAAGGGAGGGAAACUGGAAGUUGAUGCCAAAUAUUCCUGGAGAACAAAAUCAUCUCUCUUCUUUGCUAGACUAGUCAGGAGCACAGUUCCAGCUCCUGAAGGGCUUCCAGAGGAAUAUUCUGCCAUUCUGGAGGCUGACAGGAAAUCGAUGGAAUUCACUUUAAAAAGGCAGUUCCUGCCAGAUGGGUUUCUCCAGAUGUGCCAAGAAGGGAUGGCAGAGACCUAGGAAUCACUGAAAUGGUACGAUUGGAUUGGACUGAACCAUUCUCAACUGUAGGAAUCAAGGUGGAUAUCCCUCCUCUCCAUUUUCUCCUCACAACAAGCCUGUGAGGUUUUGAAACUGAAGUUUUGAAUUCAAGGUUCAGAUUAGCAUUCUGAAUGCAAGCUUUGAUUCAAAAUUCACCUGCUAGCAACCUGUUGACAACAGGUCUGGAGAACAUCAAAGUGAAUCUGAAAUGAAGAAAGUUCUUGCAAGGGCUUAUGAACGUCACUGCAUCUGGAGGAACAUUUCAGUUCUGAGCAGCCCCAACUUGGUCUCCUAAGGAAAACCAUCACCACUUUCCCUCAGUCAUUAUUUGCCUCUGACAUUGCUAUUUAUUGCCAACAGCAGCUUCAGGUGAUCGGCAAUGCCUGUUUUCCUUCUAAAGAAAAGUUGGCAAUUUAUAGUGUUCUUUUUUUAAAAGCAAGAACUAUACCAGACAUACAAUGGACACCAGAAGUGUUUGUGCUCUGUCCUUUGACAAUGCUUUUCUCUAUGAAGGAGGGGAGAGAUUUAUUUUGGCUUCAUUCUCAUCUGCCUGAUCUGCAAUCCAUUCAUGCAAUCUGGCAUGAUAAUAGAUGCUGGGAGCCCCAGAGAUCAGACAGUAAUUUCUUGCUACCAGCGCUGUUCAAUUAAAUGACUGUAGUGCUCGAACAUCAAAGGCUACUGGUGAAAAUGGCUACAAGAACGAUGCAGGCUGAGAGACAGUGUCAUUUUCUGGGAAGCAAUGGUGGAGGGUGGCUAUUGCUUUUCUAAUCCAUCCACUACAAGCAUCUCAGGAUGCCUUACUAUCUUGCCCAUGAUCCCCAGCAAUUGGUAGCUAUGGGCAUUCUGCAGAGCUAGAUUUUCCCUGCCUAUGUCUUCUGCAUUUCCCCUCUCUAAUUUGGAACUGAUUUCAAAUACCAGGACCGCUGAAUAUGCCAACACACACACACACAUACACAGACACACACAUAGAACCACCUGGAAAUUUAAGCACAGCAGUCAUUCACACAUCUGCAUAUCUUUGAUGAGAAGGGACAAGUUUUUUAUAUCAAUGCUUCAUGCCCCUGCACGUGGAUGAUGGUCUGCAAAGACUACAGAAAGUGGAACACCAAUGAGUAUCCAGGUUCAGUGGUGAUAGCUUCUCAGCUGGGCUUGAGCGAAUGAAAGUAGAUAUGAGCAUAUCUAUAUAAUUCUGAUGCAGCAUGGAUGGGAAAGUUUUAGAAGCUGAGGAACAGUUUUGACUUCUUGACUGCACCCUGUGGACCAUCCCACCCUCCUCCAGGUGGUGCCAGAAAUACAGAGUAAGUAGUAAACAGACAUGCAAAUAAAUCAAAGUGACACCUGGAGUAGCUACUUUACUUCGUAAAGUAUAUAAUUCAGCCUGUUUACAAUACAAGGGUUUGAAAUGCUUCUGAAUGGCUGUACCAGAUGCUAUUAUUUUCCUCUAUUUUUUUACAUGGUUGUAAAAAAUUGGGUUGUGGGGAGGUUCUGUUGUGGGGAGGAACAAAGGGUACUGGGAGUUUAUUAGCUGGCUGUUGCUGAUCCCUGAUGUAUGGGUCAAGCUCUUAGUUUUUAAUGGAUAUCUAACUGAUGUUUGCAAUUUUCAAUUUGAAAUCUUUCUACCUAAGCCUAAUCUCUGAUCUGAUCAGAGAAGCAAUUACUGGUUUUUGCUGCUAUUCAAAUAAGAUGUUUAAGUAAAUAUAUUUCAUAUUUUUACUGUUCCAUGCUUGUGUCCUUAUAAUUAGAUAUGUUGAUUUCUGAAUUGAUUGCCAAGAAAGAUGCUUAAUGUUUUCAAGUGUUGUUGAAGAAGAAUAUGGAGUCAAAUUGUGUGCCUCACCCAUUUAUGUUCAUUUGCCUUGGACUGGAUGUAGCUUUGCUUAAAAUUAGUAGUUUUCUUCUAGUUUCCUCACUAUAUAUAGUUGUACUUGUGGAGUUUAAAGAUUCUUUUGAUGUUACUUUUCUGCACCGUUUAUUAAAUUUUUAUGUAUCCUACUGGGUUCCGCUUUGAGAAUACUCUGAACUAACCAAUGGACAAACAAGUGUGUCCCAGAUCAAAUCAAACCAGAGCUUUCCCUAGGAGAAACAAUGGCAUUUGGGCACCCCAUGAGAAGGCAAAGCUCCCUGGAGAAGAUCAUCAAGCUUAGAAAACUUGAAGGUGGAAGAAGACAAGGAAAACCAACUAUGAGAUGCAUUGGUUUCAUCAGGGAAACUGCAGACUUGAAUUGACAAGAGUUGAGCAGGGCUGUCAUGGAUUGGUUGUUGAUUGCACCAAGUCAGAGACAACUUGAUGGCACAAGAAUAAAAACUGGGUUCUACCCUACCACCUAAAAAUAAAUAAAUAAAUAAAUAAAUAAAUAAAUAAAUAAAUAAAUAAAUGUGCUCUCUCUCUCUCUCUCUCUCUCUCUCUCUCUCUCUCUGUGUGUGUGUGUGUGUGAGUGAUUGAGA